ensembl:lncRNA
GUAACUACUAGCAAAGCAUGGUCUUUUUGAGAUUUCUCUUUUCGCUCCAAAAGUAAGUGUUCCUCAAAAGAACAAAGAAGGACCCACCGCAGAACUAUUUAGUUGUAAUGCUUUACCUUGUGGUACCUCCGUACAUAUCAAUCCUGACAGAGGGGAAACAAAUGCAUUAACAGUGCACUGAAAUUGAAAACGUCGUAAGGCAUUUAACUUGACAACUGUGUAUUCAGAAAAGUCCUGACCCCCUAUGUUUUAAGGCCAGCCGGCAUCUCCUGAUAACCACUAUCAUAUUAGCCCAGCCCGUCAGGAGUAGGAGCAACAACACCAACUCAUCCACCAGCAAAAAAGCCGUAGCCUACAAUUGACAAAACAAGACACUACCCAUUCCAGACACAGAACAGGUGUUGAUUCCCCUUCUGACUGAAACUAUUUGAUGAAUCAAUGGAUCAACAAGAAAAUGAAAACACAGCUCUUAGCCAAGUCGCGGCUGGAAUCGCGCUUUCGCUGUUGGCUGCUUUUGUCGCCACCGUGUGGUGGUUCGACCGCCAGAGACGAACCAGCGAGAGUCCUACCAGACCGCGCAUGGAAGGGGACCGAUCAGUAUUCAAGCCAAUCUCAGAGCCUGAAGUCCAGGAAGCGGUGGGACAAUUUGAAGACACAGAGGAGGCAGAAGAGAACAUGGUUUCCUAGUUUAAAUGUAUUCCUGUUUUAUCUGUCCUGUAUUUUCUACAAAUAUUUUUUGAAGUUACAAAAGACAUUGUAUUGUGUUAAUUGUGGAACGCUUUUCUAUUAUUUCUUCUUCUUUACAUUUCCCUGUUACAGAAUCCUUUCAGAAAUAAUCUAGCCAAAGAGAAGUAGAAAACUAGAAGUUGUUGAAGCACCAUUUAAACAAAAUAAGAUUUUGCUUUAGAUAUCCAUAGAUUUGGACCCAGUUAGGCUAUUCAUGACAUUUAGUUGUCAUUAUUUAAAAAUACCUUAUAUUUUUGUAAUUAUUACAACUUAGUGACACAAUAAUAAAGGAAUACCAAUCUAAGUGUUUGGUUCAUCUCAGGGCCGGCCCCAGGGCUUUUAGGGCUGUUUUCUUUGUAUUGAUGACAUUUCCAUUUUCUCUCCAUCCCCUGCUGAGCAAGAGUAACACGUAUGCCAUGUUCUCCAGCGCCAGGAGAAUGAGCUUUAAGUAAAGGUUUGGAAGUGGGAAUUACACCCCAAGUCCCCUCGGUGUCCUGUCUAGGGUACAACAUACAGGCCAAGGGCAGGUGAAGAUGACCUCGCAAAGGUAGCUCCUCUGGCAGAAUUGCCCGGCCCGCCGAAUCUCCAUCAGGACAAACCCACGGGUAGCCCCGGUCUGUCCUCCAGCAGGGGGACAGGUUAAUCAACCGACUAGCGUGCCCGACUCUUCCUGGUCGUGUCUUGGGCCAAGCUAGGGUAGGAUUACAAAGUUCUGAAAACCAAACGCCUGGGGUCACGUACCAAAUAACAAGGGUAGGAACUUCCCGAGACCCCGUAAAAAGGGGGGGACGAAUGAUCAAGAGUUCAACUGUUGCCCUGGGUUACUGUCACUGGCUUUCAUGUUUGCCGUCCCGAUUUAACGCAUUUACGGGAGGCGGGUUGGAUGUCCCGUAUCCACGUCCCGUAAUAGGGAUUCAAACAAAGCAUUUAAAUGAAGAUGAAUGGAUAAUUAACAGAGGUGGAUGAAGUAAGGGUAGAUGGACCAGGAAAAAAAUAUUAUUAUUCAACUAACCUAUAAACAAGCAUCAUAGUAAGAAAAGAAAAGCAUGCUCUAUGCUCAUUCUAAUAGCACAUACUUUGUUUUCCUCUUUUCAACAUCCGCAAGUACUUAUUAAACAUUUUAUCAUCAUACAGACAAGAACAUAUUAAACAUUUACUAUCAAGCAGACAAGUACAUACAAAACAUUCUGGUAUCAGGCAGGCAAGUACAUAUGUGGUACCAUUCAAUAGAGGUACAGUACGGAAGUCCCCAAGUCAGGAAAUCCUAUAAAGUUACAAAAGACAUUGUAUUGUGUUAAUUGUGGAACGCUUUUCUAUUAUUUCUUCCUCUUUACAUUUCCCUGUUACAGAAUCCUUUCAGAAAUAAUCUAGCCAAAGAGAAGUAGAAAACUAGAAGUUGUUGAAGCACCAUUUAAACAAAAUAAGAUUUUGCUUUAGAUAUCAAUAGAUUUGGACCCAGUUAGGCUAUUCAUGACAUUUAGUUGUCAUUAUUUAAAAAUACCUUAUAUUUUUGUAAUUAUUACAACUUAGUGACACAAUAAUAAAGGAAUACCAAUCUAAGUGUUUGGUUCAUCUCAGGGCCGGCCCCCGGGCUUUUAGGGCUGUUUUCUUUGUAUUGAUGACAUUUCCAUUUUCUCUCCAUCCCCUGCUGAGCAAGAGUAACACGUAUGCCAUGUUCUCCAGCGCCAGGAGAAUGAGCUUUAAGUAAAGGUUUGGAAGUGGGAAUUACACCCCAAGUCCCCUCGGUGUCCUGUCUAGGGUACAACAU